UCUAAGAAACAGAAGUGUGUCUGUAGA
rnacentral:piRNA from 2 species